UCUCCACAACCCAAUGUUUUAAUCUCCCAUGGCAUUCCGUCCUUGGAUAAUACCCACUUGGGGUCAUUAAAAUUGUGCACAUUGACCAUCCUCCACUCCUCUUGGAAUCAAAUAAUGGGUAAGAAAUAAAAUAAAACAUACUAAUAAUAAUAUCAACAUUUCUAACACACACACACACACAUAUAUAUAUAUAUAUAUAUAUAUGUUUGUUUUAUUAUAAAAUAUGUGAUAUUUCUGUAUGCUUUGAUGAAGUUUCUGGGGUUGACCAGGAGGUAAUUAUGUGACAAAAAUAGAUUUGGUGCUCCAGAACAGCAAGAUUUUAAAUGGAUAAGGCAUAUGGCUAGUCCUCAACCCCCCUUUGACUCCUCUUCCAAUGAAUGGCAAAGGUUCCACUCCAGAUCCAUCCCCCAUGUUAGACCCCAACAUAAUUAUGUAUGUAUAUAUAUAUAUAUAUAUACAUAUAGUUUUUUGUUUAUCACAUAAUUCUUUUCUAGGAAACUAUAAAAGCAGUUCAACUUUGAGGUUAUCAAAGCUUGAAGUUUGUGUGCUGGCUUCAUCAGAUUUUGUGGCAACCAUAGCCCAUUGCA
rnacentral:lncRNA from 1 species